AAAAAACAAUCGGCAUGGAGCUCAGCCCCGCAACGUCCGCGCGUAAUCCUCACCUAAUUCCGCAGAUUCCAAGCGGCCGCAUCGUCUGGAACUCCUCCACCUCGAGCGCUCCACAACUCGCUCGCCUCGCCAAAUCCCCUUUCCCCCUGCUCCUCCUUCCCCGGCUUCGUCCAGCAGCACAGCAAGCUCACCGGCCAGGUCCGACCACCCGCUCUUCCUUCUCUCCUCGUCGUCGAGCCACCCGGCCGCCCCUUCGUCCACUCCACGGAUUCGUCCCCUGGGCGAGAUGGGACGUGCACCGUCCUGGCAUUAGGGGGUCGAGCCCCCAAUCCUCAACUGCGAUUCGUGGGUCGGCAGGUUACAAAUCGGCUGGAUCGGUUGCCGGAGUAUAGCACCGGCUGGCCGGAGAAAGAGCAGUGGAUUGAAACGCCCCCACCAUCCCCACCCAGUUCGAAGCUCGCAUCUCGAAAUCGAAGGGUUAACAAGAGCGGAAAAUCAUUCUUUGCUGAUGGUGAGCAUGUCAAGCUUAUCGUUGGUGGCUAUGGCGUGCAAAGUGAGAUCGAUGAUCUCGGUUGCCCAAUGUUUUGUCAUCGUUUUGGAAGCAAGCUAGCAAGACACACACUCGGUUGUCAAAGGUCAAGAGUGUUAUUCCGUCGAUGAUGCCAUCCUCACUGCUCCUCACCGGACUCUUGUGGCUCGUGAUGUCGACACCGGCAGAUUUGUCAGACAAAAUGAAGUCAUAGGGCUAGGUUGGACAGGAUGAAUGGAGCAGAGCAGAGGGACCAUAGCGGCGGUGCGACAUAGUAGUCAUGAAGUGUAUAUACUAUGUACAAAGCAAUUAAAUUGCUAGUAAACCCAAAACCUGCAACCAUAUACAUGGAAUCAUAUAUGAUAAAUAAAGAAAGCACACUACAUAACACUUCAUGGAGAGAAAAUUGAUUGUGGAUUAUGAAGCAUUGUUUUGCUGUGUUGGAAGCAUGAUUUUUAUAUGUUCAAAGCAAAUUGAGCACAUUUGUAUUUCUUGGAAUCCCGUCCUAAUAUGUGUAAAGCAUGUGUUACCUGUACUCAUGAUAAUGGUCAUUUUGUAUGAAAGGUC